CCAAACUUGGUCAUUUAGAGGAAGUAAAAGUCGUAACAAGGUAACCGUAGGUGAACCUGCGGUUGGAUCAUUACUGAUUUCUACCGUAGCCUGUUGAGUCCGCAAGGAUUCCUAGCUACGGUGAUACACCACUUGUGCACUGUAAAUGUCUCUUGGGUUGUUGGGUUAAACCAGCAGCCCAGCGUAACGAACCAAAUUGAAUUUGUCUAAAAUAACGUUUAAAUCAUAAACAACUUUUGACAACGGAUCUCUUGGCUCUCGCAUCGAUGAAGAACGCAGC
rnacentral:misc_RNA from 1 species